GAUAACGCGUGGCGGCGCACAUAAGACAUGCAAGUCGAACGGACGUUAACCAUUAGUUUAACGUAUUGGAGCGGUUAGUGGCGGACUGGUGAGUAACACGUAAGCAACCUGCCUAUCAGAGGGGAACAACAGUUAGAAAUGACUGCUAAUACCGCAUAUGCCUUAAUUAUCACAUGAUAAUAGAGGGAAAGGAGCAAUCCGCUGAUAGAUGGGCUUGCGUCUGAUUAGAUAGUUGGUAAGGUAACGGCUUACCAAGUCGACGAUCAGUAGCCGGACUGAGAGGUUGAACGGCCACAUUGGGACUGAGAUACGGCCCAG
rnacentral:rRNA from 1 species